rnacentral:lncRNA from 1 species
GUGCUUUUAUUUACUAUGCACUUAGACUAUGCACUUUUUCUGAAAUAUUUUUGUAACACUUUUUUGUAUUUUUGCCAUUUGAAAAGGUUGUGGUGUAGUUGGUCUGUACUUAAGUUGCAGAUUUAAACCUGCUGUUAGCUUUGUAAAUCAAAAUAUAGGUGUUUUUGUCCUGUUAUAUUGUUAAUUUCAUCUGCAGCUGGAGCUGGAAUCCCAUUGAUCUUCUAGCUACCAUUCAUUUUCUGCACAAUUCACAAAAGAAGAUUGAGAAAUUCAGUGAAUGCUGUUACUAAUCCUGUCGGGAGAUGAAUCUCAUUUCACCAAAAUUAAAUUAUGUUUUUCCACAAAAAUGAUGACACAAGUUGAAGACACAUCACUCUGAAAUUGGAAGACCUCACCACUUAAGGCUCCACGGUGGCUUUCUCAGCUGAACUCUAGGGUUUCAUCUCUGGAUCUGGUUCCUGAAACUUCUUUGAGCUGAAAAUCGGGAUUGUUUGCUGUUUCCUCCCACCCUAACUACCCCUCCACCGUUGACUGUCUCUGGCCAGACAGAGUUUCAGCCUGUAUCGAUAGCACAUCCAUCUGUGAUCUCAAAUGUGGAUCUCAAAAACAACAGCAGCAGCAAAGGGGCCUGGAAAAGCUGGCUACCACAUUCACCUCCCCUCCAAAACGAUGUCCUUUUCUAAAACCAGCUUGCUGAAAGCUCCCCGUGUCAGCUGUUUGAGCCCUGUACAAUCAGCUCUAUACAAUGCAGGGGAGGCAGCAGGCUCUACUGAUUCACUAAACCACUCUGGAAAUUUGUAUAAUGCUGGCUGGCCCCUAACUCACUGGCGUUAGCAUUUUAGCUCAGGCCAUUAACUUUGCUUUUGUAUCUGGAUCUACUUGGAUUCUUGCCUCUUUCCAACCACAUUAAUUAUCUCAGCUUUCAUCAGGACUCUCCUUGGCUUGUUCCCAUUUUUAAUAAAGGCAAAGCCACA